rnacentral:lncRNA from 1 species
CUCAGGAGGCUGAGGCAGGAGAAUUGCCUGAACCCAGGAGGCAGAGGUUGCGGUGAGCCAAGAUCGCGCCAUUGCACUCCAGCCUGGGUAACAAGAGCGACACUCCGUCUCAAAAAAAAAACCUUUAGGUCAUGUUCUUAGUGAUGUAUUGUAAUAAUUUGCAGCCGUUGGCCUUUUUUCUUCUAUUAACUACGCUACUAGAUGACUUUCCAGUUCAGCAUAUGGGACAAAUUUCGGGACUUGGAAAACUUGCCAGCUGUGAAUUUCUCUAAUUUGGUUCAUCUGGUGGCCCACCUGCUGAAGACAAAGUCACUUUCACUUUCCAUCUUAAAGGUAGUUGAAUUCAGUGAAUUGGACAAACCCAGAGUCCACUUUUUACGAAAAGUGUUAAGUAUCCUGUUAAUGGAAACAGAAGUUGAAGACCUCGGUUUAAUUUUCACAAGAGUGUCUGACAGCCCAAAGCUGGGGAUAUUGCGUGAGGGCUUGAAGCUGUUCAUCAGCCACUUCUUGCUAAAGAACGCACAUGCGCACAGAAGCGCCGAGGAAGCCAGCGUGCUGAGAGCGAGAGCUGACCUUGCUACAAAGGCGCUGCAAGGAAAAGCUUCCCUGAGAAUGUAGUCAGGGAACAAAGGAGCGCAGGAAAGUCGUGCUGUGGAGAAAACAGUGUCAUUUGAACUAGAUUGCGCUUAACGCCACAGUCGAUUUGCAUUCUGAUGCAAGCCCCGGACCUCACAGACCAAGAGGAUCCCUGGCAGCCUGUGAAUAGACCACAUUGGAGUAGCAUUAACAUAACCGAUGUCGGCCGGGCGUGGUGGCUCACGCCUAUAAUCCCAGCACUUUGGUCAAGAGAUCGAGACCAUUCUGGCCAACAUGGUGAAACCACGUCUCUACUGAAAAUACAAAAAUUAGCUGGGCGUGGUGGUGCGUGCCUGUAAUCCCAGCUACUCAGGAGGCUGAGGCAGGAGAAUUGCUUGAACCCAGGAGGCGGAGGUUGCAGCGAGCCGAGAUUGUGCCACUGCACUCCAGUCUGGUGACGGAGCGAGACUCUGUCUCAAAAAAAAAAACACCAUAACCUAUGUCAAUAAGAAUUGAUUAUGGGUGGAGCUACUAAGAUUAGAAGAAAGUAUCACAACAGUGGCAUCGUCUAACUUCAUUAUGUAUCAUAUGCAGUAACCCUUGUUUGAGGCAGAGAUGAACUGAAGCUGAUUUUUCUGCAGAAGAUAAAUUUCUAUAAACAAUUCCAUUUCUAUAUUGUCUUUUAUUAAAACAAAAAUACUUAACCUUUGCUAUAGGGUAUAUUUAUGACUUAAAUUAUUAACUAAGGUUUGCAUUUCAUAUAUGGUAGAUUGCCUGUAAGUCUGCUCAUUUUAACAACAUAUGGGGCCAGGUGGGGUGGCUCAUGUCUGUAAUCUCA